AGAGUUUGAUCCUGGCUCAGAACGAACGCUGGCGGCAUGCCUAACACAUGCAAGUCGAACGAGACCUUCGGGUCUAGUGGCGCACGGGUGCGUAACGCGUGGGAACCUGCCUUUGGUUCGGAAUAACUCAGAGAAAUUUGAGCUAAUACCGGAUAAUGUCUUCGGACCAAAGAUUUAUCGCCAUUAGAUGGGCCCGCGUAAGAUUAGCUAGUUGGUGGGGUAAAGGCCUACCAAGGCGACGAUCUUUAGCUGGUCUGAGAGGAUGAUCAGCCACACUGGGACUGAGACACGGCCCAGACUCCUACGGGAGGCAGCAGUGGGGAAUAUUGGACAAUGGGCGAAAGCCUGAUCCAGCAAUGCCGCGUGAGUGAUGAAGGCCUUAGGGUUGUAAAGCUCUUUACCCGAGAUGAUAAUGACAGUAUCGGGAGAAUAAGCUCCGGCUAACUCCGUG
rnacentral:rRNA from 1 species